GUCUCUGUGGCGCAAUCUGUUAGCGCGUUCGGCUGUUAACCGAAAGGUUGGUGGUCCGAGCCCACCCAGGGAUG
rnacentral:tRNA from 1 species